UAUUUCUAUAAAUGAGUGAAAAGUGCGCUUUUUACACACAUACCGUGACGUCCUAAGACCAACAUCCAAUACACUAACAGUGUAUGUUGGUAUAAGAUGCGGUGGUAACUAAUUAUAUAGAAUUGCAUUGACACGCAGAUUACGUAAGUAAAAUUUCAAUUCAUUCGACAACAGGAAGUACAGGAACCCUCUUAAAGUCACGGAAAAUAUGAAACAGACAUACAGACAACACAGCAACUUUAAAGUUACUAAGAAAUAGGGUGUUCCACUUAACUCUUUCAAGCUUUUCAAUUUUUAAAAAACUUCUUAAUUUUCUUACGUUUCUAACUGUAAUAUGCUAAAGAAUUUAAUUUUGAACUUUUCCAAUUAAAGUGGUGAAAAUCCUAACUUUUCUAGUUUAGUUUUUAAAAAACAUGUGUUCGUCAAAAUGUCAAAUUAUUUCAAAAAUUAAGCAGAGUCGACCAUUAAAAGAUUGUAGCUUAUUUCUCAAACACCCUACACAGGGAGUCUCAAAAUUAGCCAAUUCCGAGUUCAGAACAUCGUAAAGAAUCACUUUAGAAGUCCAAAUAUAGAAAAAAAAAAGGAUUCGGGGAUUUCGUUUUUUCGAAAAGAUUCAGGUUUAUUGUUAUUUAUGGUGUAGGUGACUGUGGAGAAUAAUAAUGUAAAACAAUUUCGCAAAAAAUUGCAUUAUUUUGGAUGAAAAAAUUUUAAAUUUUGUAAUUUUCCGUUUCAUUUUUAAGAAAAAUUUACAAAAAUUUAGAAUUUCUUACUCUUAAAUUAAGCUAAUUUUUCGAGGAUAUGUUUUACAUUAUUAUCUUCCACAAUCAUCUACAGUUCUACAACAUACAGAACAAUUAUUACUGAAAUUUUUGGCUUGUAUUUGUAGAAAAUAAAUCAAAAUGCACCUGAAGUGAAGCUUCAAACCAAUAUAUCUUUGUGGGGAAGCCCCGAAUUUUUAUUUAGUUUCUAUUAGCUGUUUCAAAACUAUAAAGACGCCAACGUCGCAUUUUACCUAAUAUUUUUUUUAAAUAAGAUUGAUAAAAUUGUAAGAUAGUUUUGAAACAGCUAAUACAUUUAGACUACUGAAGUGAUUCUCGACAACGCUCUGAACUUGGAAUUCGCCAAUUUUGAAAAUAAUUUUAGGUGUUGCAAGGAUGUAGCUUAGGUAAAAAUGGACUUUUCCAACGUGCUGGGACUGCAAGCUAAGUCUGCUAAACGCAUUUUUACUGUAGUCUCAUAAAAAUUAUUAAAUACUCAUACUUUGUGUCUAUUUUUUUAGAAUUCCUUAUGAUAGGUAAUAUUAAAUUUUAACAUUAAGGUA